rnacentral:rRNA from 1 species
UACGUAGGUGACAAGCGUUGUCCGGAUUUAUUGGGCGUAAAGAGCGUGUAGGCGGCCAGGUAGGUCUGGUGUGAAAACUCGAGGCUUAACCUCGAGAUGUCAUCGGAAACCAUCUGGCUAGAGUCCGGAAGAGGAGAGUGGAAUUCCUGGUGUAGCGGUGAAAUGCGCAGAUAUCAGGAAGAACACCCGUGGCGAAGGCGGCUUUCUGGGACGGUACUGACGCUGAGACGCGAAAGCGUGGGGAGCGAACAGG